rnacentral:rRNA from 1 species
CACGGGUAACGGAGAAUUAGGGUUCGAUUCCGGAGAGGGAGCCUGAGAAACGGCUACCACAUCUACGGAAGGCAGCAGGCGCGUAAAUUACCCAAUCCUGAUUCAGGGAGGUAGUGACAAGAAAUAACAACUCGGGGCCUCACGGCUUACGAGAUUGCAAUGAGAACAAUUUAAAUCUCUUAGCGAGGAACAAUUGGAGGGCAAGUCUGGUGCCAGCAGCCGCGGUAAUUCCAGCUCCAAUAGCGUAUAUUAAAGUUGUUGCAGUUAAAAAGCUCGUAGUUGAAUUUCUGAUUAUGGAUGUAGCGGUUUCCGUUACAUUUGUAGUCAUCCACAUGAGAACCUUUCUCGGCCUUCACUGGUCGGUUGGGGGAUCAUGUACUUUACUUUGAAAAAAUCAGAGUGUUUCAGGCAGGCGUUUGCAUGAAUACACAAGCAUGGAAUAAUGGAAUAGGACUAGGGUCCAUUUUUAUUGGUUAUUGGACCAUAGUAAUGAUUAAUAGGGACAGUUGGGGGC